CGUAGGUGGCAAGCGUUGUCCGGAUUUAUUGGGUUUAAAGGGUGCGUAGGCGGUCUUGUAAGUCAGUGGUGAAAUACGGCAGCUUAACUGUCGAGGUGCCAUUGAUACUGCAGGACUUGAGUACGGACGAGGUAGGCGGAAUUGACGGUGUAGCGGUGAAAUGCUUAGAUAUCGUCAAGAACACCGAUAGCGAAGGCAGCUUACUAGACUGUAACUGACGCUGAUGCACGAAAGUGUGGGGAUCAAACAGGAUUAGAUACCCUGGUAGUCCACACUGUAAACGAUGAUUACUCGAUGUUGGCGAUACACAGCCAGCGUCUUAGCGAAAGCGAUAAGUAAUCCACCUGGGGAGUACGCCGGCAACGGUG
rnacentral:rRNA from 1 species